UACGUAGGGUGCAAGCGUUGUCCGGAAUUAUUGGGCGUAAAGAGCUCGUAGGCGGUUUGUCGCGUCUGCUGUGAAAACCCGAGGCUCAACCUCGGGCCUGCAGUGGGUACGGGCAGACUAGAGUGCGGUAGGGGGAGAUUGGAAUUCCUGGUGUAGCGGUGGAAUGCGCAGAUAUCAGGAGGAACACCAAUGCGAAGGCGGUCAACUGGCCCUGAACUGACGCUCAGGCACGAAAAGCGUGGGGAUCAAACAGG
rnacentral:rRNA from 1 species